rnacentral:misc_RNA from 1 species
GAUGAAGAACGCAGCGAAAUGCGAUAAGUAAUGCGAAUUGUAGAAUUCCAGUGAGUCAUCGAAUCUUUGAACGCACAUUGCGCCCUUUGGUAUUCCGAAGGGCAUGCCUGUUCGAGCGUCAUUAUCACCCCUCAAGCCCUCGGCUUGGUGUUGGACGGUUUGGUGGAGGCCCCCUCGGGGGUUCCUGCCCCUCCCAAAGACAAUGACGGCGGCCUCGUUGGACCCCCGGUACACUGAGUUCUUCACGGGACACGUAUCGGACACAUGGGUUUACGGGACACGGUCUGCCUCCCCUCAGGGAGAAUCUUUCUAAGGUUGACCUCGGAUCAGGUAGGGAUACCCGCUGAACUUAAGCAUAUCAAUAAGCGGAGGA